rnacentral:rRNA from 1 species
AACGCUGGCGGCGUGCCUAAUACAUGCAAGUCGAGCGAAUGGAUUAAGAGCUUGCUCUUAUGAAGUUAGCGGCGGACGGGUGAGUAACACGUGGGUAACCUGCCCAUAAGACUGGGAUAACUCCGGGAAACCGGGGCUAAUACCGGAUAACAUUUUGAACCGCAUGGUUCAAACAUAAAAGGUGGCUUCGGCUACCACUUACAGAUGGACCCGCGGCGCAUUAGCUAGUUGGUGAGGUAACGGCUCACCAAGGCAACGAUGCGUAGCCGACCUGAGAGGGUGAUCGGCCACACUGGGACUGAGACACGGCCCAGACUCCUACGGGAGGCAGCAGUAGGGAAUCUUCCGCAAUGGACGAAAGUCUGACGGAGCAACGCCGCGUGAGUGAUGAAGGUUUUCGGAUCGUAAAGCUCUGUUGUUAGGGAAGAACAAGUACCGUUCGAAUAGGGCGGUACCUUGACGGUACCUAACCAGAAAGCCACGGCUAACUACGUGCCAGCAGCCGCGGUAAUACGUAGGUGGCAAGCGUUGUCCGGAAUUAUUGGGCGUAAAGGGCUCGCAGGCGGUUUCUUAAGUCUGAUGUGAAAGCCCCCGGCUCAACCGGGGAGGGUCAUUGGAAACUGGGGAACUUGAGUGCAGAAGAGGAGAGUGGAAUUCCACGUGUAGCGGUGAAAUGCGUAGAGAUGUGGAGGAACACCAGUGGCGAAGCGACUCUCUGGUCUGUAACUGACGCUGAGGAGCGAAAGCGUGGGGAGCGAACAGGAUUAGAUACCCUGSUAGUACACGCCGUAAACGAUGAGUGCUAAGUGUUAGGGGGUUUCCGCCCCUUAGUGCUGCAGCUAACGCAUUAAGCACUCCGCCUGGGGAGUACGGUCGCAAGACUGAAACUCAAAGGAAUUGACGGGGGCCCGCACAAGCGGUGGAGCAUGUGGKUUAAUUCGARGCAACGCGAAGAACCUUACCAGGUCUUGACAUCCUCUGACAAUCCUAGAGAUAGGACGUCCCCUUCGGGGGCAGAGUGACAGGUGGUGCAUGGUUGUCGUCAGCUCGUGUCGUGAGAUGUUAGGUUAAGUCCCGCAACGAGCGCAACCCUUGAUCUUAGUUGCCAGCAUUCAGUUGGGCACUCUAAGGUGACUGCCGGUGACAAACCGGAGGAAGGUGGGGAUGACGUCAAAUCAUCAUGCCCCUUAUGACCUGGGCUACACACGUGCUACAAUGGACAGAACAAAGGGCAGCGAAACCGCGAGGUUAAGCCAAUCCCACAAAUCUGUUCUCAGUUCGGAUCGCAGUCUGCAACUCGACUGCGUGAAGCUGGAAUCGCUAGUAAUCGCGGAUCAGCAUGCCGCGGUGAAUACGUUCCCGGGCCUUGUACACACCGCCCGUCACACCACGAGAGUUUGUAACACCCGAAGUCGGUGAGGUAACCUUUUAGGAGCCAGCCGCCGAAGGUGGGACAGAUGAUUGGGGUGAAGUC